rnacentral:rRNA from 1 species
GACGAACGUUGGCGGCGUGCUUAAUACAUGCAAGUCAACUGAAGCAGUGGUAGCAAUAUCGCUGUGGAGGUGGCGCACGGGUGAGCAACACGUAGGUAAUCUGCCUUCAGGUCUGGCAUAACUCCGGGAAACCGGGGCUAAUAGCAGAUGAUGCAGCGGCUCGACAUCGAGACAGUUGUUAAAGCUAUGGCGCCUGAAGAUGAGCCUGCGUCUGAUUAGCUAGUUGGCGGGGUAACGGCCCACCAAGGCAACGAUCAGUAGCUGGUCUGAGAGGAUGAUCAGCCACACUGGAACUGAGACACGGUCCAGACUCCUACGGGAGGCAGCAGUAAGGAAUAUUGCUCAAUGGGAGAAAUCCUGAAGCAGCAACGCCGCGUGAGGGACGAAGGGCUUUUGCUUGUAAACCUCUGUAGUGAGAGAAAAAAAUCCCAAUCUUUGGGACAUGAUGGUAUCUCAAAAGUAAGCCCCGGCUAACUACGUG